rnacentral:rRNA from 1 species
AGUGAACGCUGGCGGUAGGCCUAACACAUGCAAGUCGAACGGCAGCACAGUAAGAGCUUGCUCUUACGGGUGGCGAGUGGCGGACGGGUGAGGAAUACAUCGGAAUCUACUUUUUCGUGGGGGAUAAGGAAGGGAAACUUACGCUAAUACCGAAUACGACCUACGGGGGAAAGCAGGGGAUCUUCGGACCUUGCGGGAUUGAAUGAGCGGAUGUCGGAUUAGUUGGUUGGCGGGGUAAUGGCCCACCAAGGCGACGAUCCGUAGCUGGUCUGAGAGGCUGGUCGGCCGCCCUAGAAGGUGAACAGCGUCCAGACUCCUGCGGGACGGAGCAGUGGGGAAUGUUGGACAACGGGGGGAAGCCUUGUCCAGCCAUACCGAGUGGGUGAAGAAAGCCCUCGGGUUGUGAAGCCCUUUUUUUGGGAGAGAACAGCAGCAGGCUAAUACCCCGCUGUUCUGACGGUACCCAAAGAAUAAGCACCGGCUAACUUCGUG